rnacentral:rRNA from 1 species
GGUGUUGCAUGGCUGUCGUCAGCUCGUGUCGUGAGAUGUUGGGUUAAGUCCCGCAACGAGCGCAACCCUCAUCCUUAGUUACCAUCAGGUAAUGCUGGGGACUUUAAGGAAACUGCCAGUGAUAAACUGGAGGAAGGUGGGGAUGAUGUCAAGUCAUCAUGGCCCUUAUGGAGUGGGCUACACACGUGCUACAAUGGUGGCUGCAAUGGGCUGCAAAGUCGCGAGGCUAAGCUAAUCCCUUAAAAGCCAUCUCAGUUCGGAUUGUACUCUGCAACUCGAGUGCAUGAAGUUGGAAUCGCUAGUAAUCGUGGAUCAGCACGCCACGGUGAAUACGUUCCCGGGUCUUGUACACAC